CACGCCGCGUGAGUGAUGAAGGUCUUCGGAUCGUAAAACUCUGUUAUUAGGGAAGAACAAAUGUGUAAGUAACUAUGCACGUCUUGACGGUACCUAAUCAGAAAGCCACGGCUAACUACGUGCCAGCAGCCGCGGUAAUACGUAGGUGGCAAGCGUUAUCCGGAAUUAUUGGGCGUAAAGCGCGCGUAGGCGGUUUUUUAAGUCUGAUGUGAAAGCCCACGGCUCAACCGUGGAGGGUCAUUGGAAACUGGAAAACUUGAGUGCAGAAGAGGAAAGUGGAAUUCCAUGUGUAGCGGUGAAAUGCGCAGAGAUAUGGAGGAACACCAGUGGCGAAGGCGACUUUCUGGUCUGUAACUGACGCUGAUGUGCGAAAGCGUGGGGAUCAAACAGGAUUAGAUACCC
rnacentral:rRNA from 1 species